AAACAGAAAGAUCUCAUAUAUUAAAUCAAGCAUUUUGCAUUACAAAGAACAUUGUCCAAAGAUUACAAGAGAUGAAACUAUCUAGUAAUAGCCCGAUUCUUGACCUUGCAAUCAACUAUAAUGUUUGAAACAUUGAUCCUAAGAAUGACAUUCUAACUAUCUUGUAGUAGCUCCAUUCUUAACCUUGCAAUCAACAUGUGAGCCAUGCAUCGUCAAUUUAUCUUGGUCAUCUACAAAAAUAUGAGAUUAGUUAGUUAUAUUAAGGAAAUCAGGUUAAUAGAGAAGUAAAAUGUAAAGGAGCACCAUACAAAUGUGAUUUACCAAAAAGUAAGAUUUAUAUACAGAUCUGGUUAAUAAUCUGAAUAUAAGAACAUCUUCGAAAUGAAAUUUAUUAAACAACAUUACCGAUUAUGCAGCCUGUAUCGAGUACAAUUUGUUUUGCAUCUUACAUCAGCUUGAAACUAACAUGAACUAUCAUUAUCUAUGUUUAGCUUCCAGUCUAUUAAAAAGAAUCGAAAUGUAGAAAUGGAAAUUAACUGCAGAUAUUUGCAAUGUCAGUACGAUCACCCAACAAAGAAAUAACAAUAAUACACACAUUCGAUAAGGUCAUCGCCGUGCUAUGAAGUACAAGCACAGAGACUUUGAGUCUUCUUACUUUGUAAACUGAUGAUAUUCUGUUUCAAUUAAUUGCAAGGCACAUGUUCUGAAUAUCUAUGACUCCUUCAUAUAAGAAAGUGCAUAUCAAAACACCGGUUCACGCUUACUUUGUUAACUAACGACAUUUUACUACUGAUGCUUGGGAUGAUUCAUUAGUCAUGCUUGCUAUGGUGUACCCAGUGCCAACAACUUGAAAAUCUUAAAAUAAUCUACAUCAUGCAAGACCUCGUAAUUACCUAGGAAUUACAAAGGCACACAUUAUAAUAUCUCGAUCCAUGUAAAAAAAUCUCAGAGCCUGCAGAAUCAACGACACGAAAAAAAGCAUCAUCAGAUUUUGGACAGUGGGAGUUAUCCACUCAUUCAUAAAAACAAGACAUGCAUAAUGAACUAAGAAACAGAAAGGGGAAAGAGCGCUAUGAACUAUCUAAUCCACUUCUGCUUGUCAUGCUAUCUAAUCCACUUCUGCUCGUCAUCACACCUACUCUUAGCCCCUGACUCGACCCGGAAGGAAUCCACGAUCUAAUAAAUAUAGACAAGAGCAUGUUCUAAUCAGUAUACAAGAGAGAACGUCAGAGAAUAAUUCAUUACUAGCUGGGAAACAUGAACCUGCCAGACUGAGCCUACAAUAGGAACUCUGGUUUCCAUAUGAUCUUGCACCACCACACCGAGCAGAGAUCAGGCCUCAAA
rnacentral:lncRNA from 1 species